ACUAGGGGAUAUUUGGUUUAUACCAUGGUGAUAACCGAGAGAGGCAAUUGCUAAGUUGUGGUGCACUCAUACCUUUACUAGAUGCGAACAAUUCCGGAGAAGAAGAAGAAGUGGAAUCGAACGAGGAUUUUAUUUAUAUAUGUUGUUGGAAUUCUUAUAUGGAUGGAGUUGAAGAAGUACAGGGACAAAUAAGCCAAGGCAAGCCAUCUUUUGAUCUCUGAUUCGGUGUCUAGUUGGAUGUCAUUUGUUGAUGUCCAAAGCACCUUAAUUCUAUGUGUGUUAUUCUCUCUAUUUAUGUCAUCUAUGUGUGAUUGCAAA